AGUUCGAGUCCUGGCUCGAGGACGAACGCUGGCGGCGUGCUUAAUACAUGCAAGUCGAACGGAGUUAUUCCGCCGAUCAAGGUUUCGGCUGAGAUCAUGGGAUAGCUUAGUGGCGAACGGGUGAGUAACGCGUGAACAACCUGACUCAAAGAGGGGGAUAACAACGGGAAACUGUUGCUAAUACCGCAUAAGACCACAGUGCCGCAUGACACAGGGGUCAAAGAGAUAUCGCUUUGAGAGGGGUUCGCGUCCCAUUAGGUAGUUGGAGGGGUAACGGCCCACCAAGCCGACGAUGGGUAGCCGAGCUGAGAGGCUGAUCGGCCACACUGGAACUGAGACACGGUCCAGACUCCUACGGGAGGCAGCAGUAGGGAAUAUUGGGCAAUGGGCGCAAGCCUGACCCAGCAACGCCGCGUGAGGGAAGAAGGUUUUCGGAUUGUAAACCUCUGUCCUAUGUGACGAAGGAAGUGACGGUAGCAUAGGAGGAAGCCCCGGCUAACUACGUGCC
rnacentral:rRNA from 1 species